ACCAAGGUGGCCGAGGGGUUUAAGGCGUUGCAUUUAAGUUUCAAUCUCCUCAAGAUUAUUCUGCAAUAUCGAGAGAUGCCUGGGUUCGAAUCCCAGCCUUGGUA